rnacentral:rRNA from 1 species
GACGAACGCUGGCGGCGUGCCUAAUACAUGCAAGUAGAACGCACAGUUUAUACCGUAGCUUGCUACACCAUAAACUGUGAGUUGCGAACGGGUGAGUAACGCGUAGGUAACCUGCCUGGUAGCGGGGGAUAACUAUUGGAAACGAUAGCUAAUACCGCAUAAUAUUAAUUAUUGCAUGAUAAUUGAUUGAAAGAUGCAAUUGCAUCACUACCAGAUGGACCUGCGUUGUAUUAGCUAGUAGGUGAGGUAACGGCUCACCUAGGCGACGAUACAUAGCCGACCUGAGAGGGUGAUCGGCCACACUGGGACUGAGACACGGCCCAGACUCCUACGGGAGGCAGCAGUAGGGAAUCUUCGGCAAUGGACGAAAGUCUGACCGAGCAACGCCGCGUGAGUGAAGAAGGUUUUCGGAUCGUAAAGCUCUGUUGUAAGAGAAGAACGGGUGUGAGAGUGGAAAGUUCACACCGUGACGGUAUCUUACCAGAAAGGGACGGCUAACUACGUG